AUCGAAAGUUAAUUCCAUGGACGAUUCAAGGAUACAUCACACUUGAAUAAAAAAUAGAGUUAUUUUUUUAUUGAUUAAAUCAAUAUAUUAAGUAUAAAAUUAUGUCCUAGAUUUAUUACAAUGUAUCAGCCAUAUUGGCUUCUAGGAUAUAUAUCUAACAUGAAUAGGGAUCAAAAUCUCCAAAAAAUUUUCAAAUCCAAUACCUCGAGAGAUCUGAAUGUGCAGGCCCUCUAUUUCGUACGCACGCUAAGCCCUGUAAGAAAGCGAGAUGAUGUUCUUUGCAUCAAUCCUUUUGAAGGCAGCAAGGAAGGGAGGAGAUCUAAUCUCCUCACAUUGGAUGCCUUGGAUGGAAGCUCUUA
rnacentral:lncRNA from 1 species